CAAAGAUUUAUGAAUAAAACUUCAUACUCUUAGUAAAUAAGUUUUCUAUAUUUUCAUCGUAUUAGUAUUAAUAUCAUAGGUAUAACUACAGUGGCACUUGAAGCAAUAUCGGAUGGUGGAGGAUAGACUUCCGUCCUCUACUUUAACGCUUCCCGUUUCUUUUUUUUCUUCCCAAGGUACCCUUCUUGCAGAGACCACGCGAAUGACCAUUUUGCCACUGUACUUAUGCUCUCACUACCGUUCGAUCUCUAUCGGAUGGACCUUAUUGCGAUGUGUGAAAGGGUAUUUACGAUAACCUCGAUCUUGAACGCAGGAAUAUUACCGUCUCCAGAAGCAGCUCUAUGGAAAGGCGAAACAGAUCGCAUCGACUGCGGGAAGCUCUUCCUCGGACACCUUUGGAACCAAAAGAUCCGCCGCCUUUGAUGUAUUAGGAUCCGUUGAUCGAACUCAAAUCUCAUUAAGAAACACUGGGUAGUCUAUUUUUUGCUGUAUUGAUUGGAUAAAGCUCUUCUUUAGUGCGUGUUCUGAGAGCGAAGAGACUGAUGUUGGUUUAGGGCGAGUUUUUUGCCCUACUGAUACUGUUUCGGCCAAUGAGUUCCUCAUUUUUCCAUUUUAUGUAUUAGUUAAAGCAUUAUGGUAUAUACUUCUAAGCGUAUGUACUUUUCCUAUAUAUGUGGAAUAUAGGAAAGUUUCUUGUGGUGAAGAGGAAUGUGGACAAGUUCAGUUUCUUGGCUUUAUUUUCUGUGUUAGCUAAAGAGGACAAGUCAUAACUUUUUUUAUUUUUGUUGCUUAGUGUAGUAAGUUCAGAAACUUUCUUGGAGAUCAUUUAUGUGCAAGUUUUUUAGGCUCCUAAGAUACAACCCUACAAUUUCAAGUGGAUCAAGAAGUAGUAGGCUCAAAUCCCUUGUACUAUUAUCUCUAAAGCCCUAGCUAUUCCUUAGUUGCAUAUUAAAUUUCAUAUUUCAUGAUAAAAUGCCCUCUCUUCAAGUGUUGUUGUGGGGAUGAGAGAUGAAGCAAUUGGUGUUUACUAAAAUUUAAUGCUAUAAUUUGUGUCUCGAUUUAUUAUGAAUAUUUUACAUAAAUUUGCUUGUACUGCAGUGCCUUUUUUUAUCAAUAAUUUAGUCUGGUCAUAAUUAUUUUUGAUCGAAAUUUGCCUCCCAUGUCUUUCCAGUUUCCUUGUAUUCCUCCAUUUCUCUUGGAUUCCAGGAAGCAGAUACAUAGAGAAUAUCAUUGUUAUUGACCUAAAAGUUUGAUGCCAUUGUGUAUAUAGUAUUUAGCCUUCUGGUCAUAAUUAUCUCCUAUCACUGUUAUUGACUCAAAAGUUUGAUAUCACUGUGUAUAUAGUAUUUAUCUUUCUGGUCAUAAUCGUUUUUCGUUGAAAUUUGCUUCCCAUUUCGUUCCUGUUUCCUUAUAUUUCAUCCAUUUCUCUUGGAUUCCAGGAAGCAGAAACAUAGAAGAUAUCAUUGUUAUUGACUCAAAAGUUUGAUGCCACUGUAUACAUAGUAUUUAGCCUUCUGGUCAUAAUUAUUUCCUAUCAAAAUUUGUCUCCCAUGUCUUUCCUUUUUCCUUGUAUUUCAUCCAUUUCUCUUGGAUUCCAGGAAGCAGAUAUAUAGAGGAUAUCACUGUUAUUGACUCAAAAGUUCGAUGCCACUGUAUACAUAGUAUUUAGCCUUCUGGUUAUAAUUAUUUCCUAUCGAAAUUUGCCUCCCAUGUCUUUCCUUUUUCCUUGUAUUUCAUCCAUUUCUCUUGGAUUCCAGGAAGCAGAUAUAUAGAGGAUAUCACUGUUAUUGACUCAAAAGUUCGAUGCCACUGUGUAUAUAGUAUUUAGCCUUCUGGUCAUAAUUAUCUUCUGUUGAAAUUUGCCUCCCAUGUCUUUCCUAUUUCCUUGUAUUCCAUCCAUUUCUCUUGGAUUCCAGGAAGCAAAUACAUAGACGAUAUCACUAUUAUUGACUCAAAAGUUUGAUGCCACUGUGUAUAUAGUAUUUAGUCUUGUAUUCCAUGUUAUCACCGCUUUCUUUGGCAAAAUUAUCUAGAAUUAUAAGGCAUGUUUAGAACCACUACCAAAAAAAUUAGUCUUGUAUUCCACAUUAUCACUUCUUUCUUUGGCAAAAUUAUCUAGAAUAAUAAGGCAUGUUUAGAAUCGCUACCAAAAAUUUGAAAUAGGUUUAUUCCUGUCAUAAAACAUGUGUUUAUUAUGCAAGCUUUUGUGGUUCUUUACAUGGAUAUGCAUUAGCAAAUAACUAUUUUAUGUAAUCUAUGCCUUUCGGAAUAGUUUCAUAAAAUUAGACAAUUUUUCGGUCAUUUCUUGGUUCCAAAGAUCGUUGUCUGUCAGCUUACAUUUGACUUAGCUGAGAUUCUGCAUUUCGAAUUGCCCAACAAGGUUCAUAAUUUUUGCUAUUCUAGUUCUGGAAUUUCACAAACUACAGACGAUGGAACCUACUUUCACCAUAUUGGAUAGGUAAAAGCUUGGUUGCUGAACUCCAACUCUACAAGUCUUGAUUCAAUUAACUAGUUAUCAGAAACUUUGACUGUCUUUUGUGAAUUUGUACAAGCUCAUCUGCUCUCGUGCAAUAGUGUAUUCUGAUGUGUGGCUUGGGUCAUUUAGUUUUCGUCCUCUAAUAUGUCUUAGCCGGCCGGCUAUUGGGUUGAUGUAUGCAUUCAAUUAUUCCUUUAUUGCAUGGUUAGUAGAUUGUGGACAUGCAGAUAGAUAUCUUGGCAUCUGACUUGAACAAGAUGAGAUUUACUGACAGCAAAAGAUGUGGUUUUACCUAGAACAAAGUCAGUAUCAGAAAAAUAGUAUUUCUCGUUAUCUUUCGAAAAAUGAUUCAAGAGGUAAGAAGGCAGGCUUGGUUCAAGAUCACCACAAGAAAACUGCUGUUAAUUUCACAGAACCAGAACUAGGAAUCCUUGAUGUUGAUGAUCAGAUUAAUUUUCUGAGACAUCUUCUAGGGAUAGUUUGUCAUCACUGUUGCUAAGGUCUGAUAAAACGCAAUAUGCUUGGAACUAUGAUUGUUUGAAUCUCUCUCUUCCGAGUCAGUUUUCUCCAACAUCAUCAUCUUGAAGCCCUUGUAUCUUCUUACGUGAGGGCAAUGAGACUUUUGCUACUUAUAGUUCAAUGUCUAGUCCAACAAGUGACAUGUCCAUAGUUCUCAGCAGACAAUUAAGUUUAGGGAAGGAAGUUCAUACAAAUAAAAGUUGCUGGAAAUGAUGGAAGAGAUCCUCAGUUGCCCAUUCAGAAAGCCCCAAUUCCUCCUACAUAGGACCUCAUUUGAAGACCCAUCAUCUUGUAACAGUUCAUGUGCAUUGCCUGGUACAUUUACAGAGCUAGAAUGGGCAUAUGGGUUUCUUCAUUGGACCUUGAGAGCAAAGACUCAGAGCUAAUAUAUGAUAGAGAAACUGACUUUGACAUCUUUGAUUCUGAUUUUUCGAGCCCUUCUUGUAGUAUCAUGCGACACCUCCAAAUUCUGUCGUCCAGUUCUAGUUCUCUAACUUCAGUAGGUGAGGUAGAUAAAGUCAAGAGUAGGGACGAUGAUUCAGAUGAACCUAUUUUUUGGCCAUUUGACAACUUGUAUAGCUGCUUGGAUUUUGAGAACUUCCUUUGCCCAUCACCUCCGAUCUCACAGUAUUUCAUGGAUCAAAAUUAAUGAGGUUGAAAAUCUGCCAACAUAUUCCACAAGCCAACAGGAAGGACAUUCGGAGACUUAGAUGUAGAACUUUCAGUCCGACACCAAAGUCAGCUACUGCUCAUUGUGAAUGAAACAAGAGGUGGGGGCUAUGAUUCUCGGAAGACAACCUCAGCGUCACUGAGAUUUAGCAGAUCUAUGGAAGCUCCUUUGGACAGACAUAUAUGCAACAUCUCCAAGAGAAGGAAGACCCUACUUAAAAGAUGGAUGUAUCUCGAAUUGGUAGUAGCAGUUCUGAGUUGUUAAACCAACCUGAAAAGGGGCUUGAUUUAUGUGAUUGAAUCUUGUAAGGAGUUCCAAUUGAAAAUAGAGUCGGCCUGAAUGAGUUUGAUGGUCAUGAAGGGAUCAAGACAGAUGUGGAGGAUCAAUUUCCUCUUUCUCAUCUUCUUAUAGGAAUUUGAUGUUCAUCCAUUGAACAUCAAAGGACAAUGGUAAGUGUAGGGAUGCAACCAUUACAUAAUUCUGAUGGAAUUGUCACAAAGCAUGCUGAAGCUCAUGAAGAUUGCCUGGAUGAGCAGAAUCAAUGUCCAGUUGAGCUUCAUGCAAAAAUGAUUAAAAUCCACAAGAGGUGUCAGAAAUUGAUCACAAGUACAGCAUUUAAGAUGAGUGGUCAUCAUCUUUGGCUUGGGUUACUGGGCAAAAGACACUGCUGCAUUGGGAAUAAAUCUCUAGAGGUAAAUCUCAAAUCCCGACUUUUCUGCCUGGAGAAACAGGGUUGUGUACCAGUUGGUUGCUGGAACCCUCACAGAGUACGUAGGCUUAUAUCAGAGUCUGCUUCUGACGAGUCUUAUUGGCAUGUGUUUGAUGCUCAUUUUAAAGCAAAACCACAUUAUGAAACAGUAGAGAUUUCUUUAGUCAAUAUUAGCUUUUUGAUCA